GAAAAUUUACGGGCAGUACUGCAGCUCGAUUGACAAAAAAGCGAGCAUUUGAAAAAAAAGGAAGCAAGCAGAACGUAGUUUUAAACGGCGUAGACUCCUAAAGAAACCAAGAAAAAGAAACACUCUUGGGGCAGCAGAAGUCAGAGAAUGCCCAACAUAUCAGACGGAAGAUGGACAUUUACAAGAGGUUGAUUUAAACGAGAUUCCUGUUCCAGCAGUUCAGAAGCCACUAAGCAGAUCCACAGGACCGCUAAAAACGGUGUUCUUUGACCCUACUGGUUCCGAGCACAAUGCUUACAUUGUCCAGAUCGCGGCAUUAUACGGAGAAGAAUGUUUUGAACUCUACAUCUUACCGCUGAAGGAACUAAAACCCAAUGGUAUCAAAAGCAACCCAUCUUACUGUACAAAAUAAUAAAUUGUAUCACAGAAACGAGACACUGACGAAAGCAGAUAUUUUAAAGGCAGCCAGAUUACUACGAGUCUGGUGCCGUACUACUUUUGUUAAUGGUUACGUUCCCACUAGUAGGACACUAAGUAGCUUACAAGACUUUGUGUGUUUGAUGCCAUUGAGUGACUGCACAUGGACAAAAGCCAUAGGACGGUUAGUGUCGCCACAAGUACCAAUGAAGCUUACAUUGUCAACGUCACAAAUAGUGAACCCCACAUAGAGACGUAUUACAUCACAGCAUUUUACGUUUACGUUGCUGACGUCAAUAGGAUUAGGAAACGUGUCACCAAAUACUAACGCCGAGGAAAUAUUCUCAACAUUUGCUGUUCUGCUUGGUUCUCGACGAAGUGAGCGAUCUAACUGGCGCAGAAGAACGACUAGAGCGGGAUCGCAGAUUGGAGAUGAGCCGUUAUUUAGCCUAUAGUGACAUAAAUACAGCGUUCAAAGACAAAUCAGUGAAAAUUUUCAGCUAUUACAACAAUGUCACAGUUCGUUUCCGGCGGAAAUAACAUAUCAUUCUGGGAAACAUCACACGGUGGAGCGCCCUCUACUAAUCGUCCACAUUCCUUGGAAGCUGAUGAUACAGUGCCACCUGUAAAAGUGAAACAAACGUCACAGUCAAACCUCGUAAAAUCGGCUGCAAACCAAACCAUCAGCAAGAUAUCACGUGAGCUGUGAGAUCGUGGUUUAGUUAACACCACGUGACAUUUGGUGCGCACUGCGCAAAGUUACAUGCGCAUUGUGUAAGGUGAAAGUGCUCAAUAGCAAACUCACAACACACAGAUCGCCAAGCGCCCGGACACAGUCGCACAACGUCAGCCGAUACUAGUAAGUGAUGUCGUCUGCUUACAGAACACAACGUCAGUCGAUACAAAUAUGAGAGAAUCCGUGAACAAUUCAGAUUUAUGUAAUUAUCUCCCUUCUGUCCUCAAAAACUAUACGAGAAAGUAUAUUGGUGAAAACUACGGAAUUCCGUUAGGACUAUCGCCUUUGAAUGAUUGUAUUGAUCUGAAACGCGAUACUCGAUAGUACGAUGAUAAAA
rnacentral:lncRNA from 1 species